CCGAAGUCAGCCUGGAGGAAGGGGUCAGGGAAUAACGGUACACCCCAGCUUUCCCUCCAGGAAGAGGACAUGGCCCCAGAAGGGAUGCUCCAGCAGAGUAGAAACCUCUGACCCUUGUAAGGGUGGACUGGGAGAUGGGGGCCAGCCACAGUGUGAGGUCUAUACAGGCCUGCCAGUGGAGACGCUGCAGAACUGCAGGCCUGCACUGGGUCAGAGGUGUCUCCCUACUCCCUGCCUUUAAAGGUUGGAUGUGUGCACACAGGGACAGUGACCUUCAGGGGAAGGCCUGCCCCUCUUUCCAGCCCCAGGACUGCUGGACUCAGCAGAAUGAAGGCAGGAGGUUGAGGAGUCUGGAGGAGCAGCUGUGAGCUUGGCAGCUGGCCAGCCCCUCCCCCACACUGGGGUCCACAUGUGAGGCCUCCUUUCUCCCUCAUCUUUCUCCGACUUGUGGCUCAUGUUGAGUCCUUGUUUGCCAUCAGCCAGUCACAUCAUCAAGAGUGUCCUCACGCCUGAGGGAAAGCACCAGGAUGGAGCCAUAUCCUAGAUGCUGUGUUCCUUUGGAGGUCUCCUGUGACUCCUUCCCGAGAAACUGGGAGUCUACAUCCCCAGCCCAGGUGAAGAAGUACCUUCUUCUUCCUCUGCUGGUCUGACGCUGUCCUGAGGGGCCAGAGGGGGCCGGGGCUGAGGACUCGGCGCGUGAAGGAGCAGGGUGCAGAAGGCUAUGACUGCUGGAUGGGACUGACUGGCCUCAACCCUCAGGAAGUUUCGGCUCUCUUGCUCAACAUGGAGCCCACUGAUUCGGCAAGACUAAGUUGGCCGGCAAGCCUCAAGGAUCCUGCAGGCGUGUGCCACCGUUCUGUGGGCGUGGAGGGCCAGCUGAACUCAGGUCCUUAUGCUGGCACAGCAAGUGCUUUACCAAAUGAGCCGUCCCCUCAGCCCUCCACCUGUAUCUGUGUGACCCUGGUGUUCCCACCUUCUUCCUCCUCUGUCCUAUCCCCCCACCCACACACUCCAGCUCCUCUUCGGAGCCGAGAUUUUCCCAUACCCUUGCUCCAAGGUGAGGAGGAGUCUGUGGGGAAGAGAGCACCAGUGAUUCUCAAAGCAAGAAAGGCUCCUGGCAGAGCUGGGCAAACAGCUCAGUGGCAGAGUGUGGGUCUACCGUGCCCUAGGCCUGGGGUUUGCAAGGCUGUGGGCUCUUAUCACCCCCAAAAUCUCCUGGGAGGAGGUUGGCUCUGUGACAGACAUCAAAGAGGCAUUUUAGAAGGCAAAAAUCUACAGAAAGAAGCGUCUGGGACCUGAGGGAACCACAAACUCAGGGGCCGUCUUACUGGUUG